rnacentral:rRNA from 1 species
UACGAAGGGGGCUAGCGUUGCUCGGAAUCACUGGGCGUAAAGCGCACGUAGGCGGAUUGUUAAGUCAGGGGUGAAAUCCUGGAGCUCAACUCCAGAACUGCCUUUGAUACUGGCGAUCUUGAGUCCGGGAGAGGUGAGUGGAACUGCGAGUGUAGAGGUGAAAUUCGUAGAUAUUCGCAAGAACACCAGUGGCGAAGGCGGCGAUCUGGGAAGAUACUGACGCUGAGGUGCGAAAGCGUGGGGAGCAAACAGG